rnacentral:rRNA from 1 species
UACGUAGGGUGCAAGCGUUGCCCGGAAUUAUUGGGCGUAAAGCGCGCGCAGGCGGUCCUUUAAGUCUGAUGUGAAAGCCCACGGCUCAACCGUGGAGGGUCAUUGGAAACUGGGGGACUUGAGUACAGAAGAGAAGAGUGGAAUUCCACGUGUAGCGGUGAAAUGCGUAGAGAUGUGGAGGAACACCAGUGGCGAAGGCGACUCUUUGGUCUGUAACUGACGCUGAGGCGCGAAAGCGUGGGGAGCGAACAGG